AAAACCUUCAACAACGGAUCUCUUGGUUCUGGCAUCGAUGAAGAACGCAGCGAAAUGCGAUACGUAAUGUGAAUUGCAGAAUUCCGUGAAUCAUCGAAUCUUUGAACGCACAUUGCACCCGGUGGUAUUCCGCCGGGUAUGCCUGUCUGAGCGUCAUUUCUACCCUCAAGCCCAAGCUUGGUGUUGGCGGAUCGCCCCCCGCGGCGACCGCUGAAAAUGAAUGGCGGUAGCACCCACAGCCCCUGUAGAGUAAAUAUUCUUACAGAGGGUCUGCGGGCACCAUCAGCCUCGAAACCCCAAGAAAUGAAAGUUGACCUCAGAUCAGGUAGGAAUACCCGCUGAACUUAAGCAUAUCAAUAAGCGGAGGAAAAGAAACCAACAGGGAUUGCCUCAGUAACGGCGAGUGAAGCGGCAACAGUCCAAAUUUGAAAUCUGGCCCUAGGCCCGAGUUGUAAUUUGCAGAGGAUGCUUUUGGAGACGCGCCUUCCGAGUUCCCUGGAACGGGACGCCUGAGAGGGUGAGAGCCCCGUACGGUCGGACGCCGAACCUUUGUAAAGCUCCCUCGACGAGUCGAGUAGUUUGGGAAUGCUGCUCUAAAUGGGAGGUAUACUUCUUCUAAGACUAAAUACCGGCCAGAGACCGAUAGCGCACAAGUAGAGUGAUCGAAAGAUGAAAAGCACUUUGGAAAGAGAGUCAAAAAGUACGUGAAAUUGUUGAAGGGGAAGCGCUCGCGACCAGACUCGUGCCUGCAGUUCAACCGACGUUCUCGUCGGCGCACUCUGCAGGUCCGGGCCAGCAUCAGUUCGCUACUGGGGAAAGACCGCUGGAAUGUGGCUCUUCGGAGUGUUAUAGCCUCGGUGUAAUACCCUCUGGCGGACUGAGGACCGCGCAUCGCAAGGAUGCUGGCGUAAUGGUCUUCAGCGACCCGUCUUGAAACACGGACC
rnacentral:rRNA from 1 species